rnacentral:snRNA from 1 species
CUGCAAACGCUGGGUUUGCGGGU